AGUGAACACCAGACCCUUCCCAGCAAACUACAUAAAACUUACUUCACAAUGACCCAAAAUCAAGUCACUACUUAACCAGAUGGGAUAUUUUUCAUGUUCUGAAGUUCAAUGGAUAAAAUAAUCUUUGGCUGUUACAGAGGGCCAUUCAUCCAAGCAUUUCAAGAAACUUGGAGGCACUAAACAAGGAAAAAGUUUCCUUUGAGAGCAGCUGAAAGACUGCAAACCUUAGUAACAACAUCUUAGUUGUUACUUAGCACACUGAAAAUUUAUUGGACAACGACAAGAGGACAGUGUAAAAGACUUUGACAUGUUGUACAUCAGUCUGGUAUCUGAGGUCACCAUGGAGACCUGGAGUACAGAAGGAGGAAAUACUUCCCUGUCCACUCAUCUGGGGUAGAUGAAUCUGUUACAGUGCCCAGAAGAGGGAUUUUGAAAGGAAGGACCAUGCUAAGAUCCUGUCCAGGAGGGCUGUUUCCAGUGCCUGAUCGUUGGCAUCAGGGACUGCCUGGAUGCGUCAUCCCUGAAGGAGUUAUUGCCUGGUGGUGGGUGGAGGAGCAGGUAGUCUCUGAGGACAGGAGGGAAGGUGGCAAAUAAGCAGCAGUGGCACAUUGCAUCAACCAAGGCAGACUUUUGACUCCACUCCCAGUGAGGUCAUGCCAGUGGAUAAGUGGAAUGAGCCUCAGCCCAGGCAACAGAAGCCAGAUUUUAUUUUCCAUUGAAGCUUUUACCUCACAAAUCCAUAGCAAGUCAUCUCCUCACCAGGAAUUUUUCCAAGUGGAGGAGCAGAGGGCUGGUUCUCAGUUUAACACAUGCAUGUGUCUGGACAACUCCUGUUUGCAUGGCCAGUUUUCCUUUAUUCCCUCUUGCUGUUCCGUAGCAGUGUCACAUUCUGUGUGUGCGCAUGCAGGUAUUA